rnacentral:piRNA from 1 species
UACCAGCACACAUAAUGUUGCUACUACCAAUC